rnacentral:rRNA from 1 species
UUCCUACGGGAGGCAGCAGUGGGGAAUAUUGCACAAUGGGCGGAAGCCUGAUGCAGCAACGCCGCGUGCGGGAUGACCCUUCGGGUUGUAACCGCUUUCGCCUGUGACGAAGCGUGAGUGACGGUAAUGGGUAAAGAAGCACCGGCUAACUACGUGCCAGCAGCCGCGGUGAUACGUAGGGUGCGAGCGUUGUCCGGAUUUAUUGGGCGUAAAGGGCUCGUAGGUGGUUGAUCGCGUCGGAAGUGUAAUCUUGGGGCUUAACCCUGAGCGUGCUUUCGAUACGGGUUGACUUGAGGAAGGUAGGGGAGAAUGGAAUUCCUGGUGGAGCGGUGGAAUGCGCAGAUAUCAGGAGGAACACCAGUGGCGAAGGCGGUUCUCUGGGCCUUUCCUGACGCUGAGGAGCGAAAGCGUGGGGAGCGAACAGGCUUAGAUACCCUGGUAGUCCACGCUGUAAACGGUGGGUACUAGGUGUGGGGUCCAUUCCACGGGUUCCGUGCCGUAGCUAACGCUUUAAGUACCCCGCCUGGGGAGUACGGCCGCAAGGCUAAAACUCAAAGGAAUUGACGGGGCCCCGCACAAGCGGCGGAGCAUGCGGAUUAAUUCGAUCAACGUAGAACCUUACCUGGGUUUGACAUGGAUCGGAAAGCCGUAGAAAUACGGCCCUCCUUCGGGACUGGUGCACAGGUGGUGCAUGGCUGUCGUCAGCUCGUGUCUGAGAUGUUGGGUUAAGUCCCGCAACGAGCGCAACCCUUGUUCACUGUUGCCASCACGUUAUGGUGGGGACUCAGUGGAGACCGCCGGGGUCAACUCGGAGGAAGGUGGGGAUGACGUCAAGUCAUCAUGCCCCUUAUGUCCAGGGCUUCACGCAUGCUACAAUGGCUGGUACAGAGAGUGGCGAGCCUGUGAGGGUGAG